UACAGAGGGUGCGAGCGUUGUUCGGAAUUACUGGGCGUAAAGGGCGCGUAGGCGGCCUUCUAAGUCAGACGUGAAAUCCCCGGGCUCAACCCGGGAACUGCGUCUGAGACUGGAAGGCUUGAAUCCGGGAGAGGGAUGUGGAAUUCCAGGUGUAGCGGUGAAAUGCGUAGAUAUCUGGAGGAACACCGGUGGCGAAGGCGGCAUCCUGGACCGGUAUUGACGCUGAGGCGCGAAAGCCAGGGGAGCAAACGGG
rnacentral:rRNA from 1 species